rnacentral:lncRNA from 1 species
GUCCCUAUUGUAGCUGGACAAACUCUUUUUUCGACAUAUUGUCUUCUUUCACAACCAUAUUCCUCAUUUUGUGAUUGUGUCAUUUCUUUGGACAAUGUUGAGCAGUGUGCUUUGGUUCUCCACAAUAUAAAUAUAAUCCUUCUUGACGACGUCGAGUCUUUUCUUGCUCAAUAAGAGGUUUGAAACAUACUGCAUCAAUUUGCAUAUCUUCUACUUUCGAAUGUAUGUAUUGAAGAGGUGUUGGUGUUGCCAUUGAAUUAUAGUAACGUUGA